ACUUUCUUAGUAUAAUUAAUAUAACUGACUUCCAAUCAGUAGAUUCUGACAAAAACGGAAGAGAGUA
rnacentral:tRNA from 1 species